UACGUAGGGAGCAAGCGUUGUCCGGAAUCAUUGGGCGUAAAGCGCGCGUAGGCGGCCCCGUAAGUCCGCUGUGAAAGUCAAAGGCUCAACCUUUGAAAGCCGGUGGAUACUGUGGGGCUAGAGUACGGAAGAGGCGAGUGGAAUUCCUGGUGUAGCGGUGGAAUGCGCAGAUAUCGGGAAGAACACCCGUGGCGAAGGCGGCACUCUGGGACGGUACUGACGCUGAGACGCGAAAGCGUGGGGAGCGAACAGG
rnacentral:rRNA from 1 species